GGCCAGUUAGCUCACUCAAUUAGAGCUUGGUGCUGAUAACGCCAAGGUCAUGGGUUCGAUCCCCGUUCGGUCCC
rnacentral:tRNA from 1 species